AGUCAUAUGCUUGUCUCAAAGAUUAAGCCAUGCAUGUGUAAGUACAAACCGAUACAAGGCGAAACCGCGAAUGGCUCAUUAAAUCAGCUGUGGUUCAUUGGAUCUUAAACCCACUUACUUGGAUAACUGUGGCAAUUCUAGAGCUAAUACAUGCGACCCGCCUCUGACCGCAAGGGAAGAGCGUUCUUAUUAGUCCAAAACUGGUCGGGCCUCGGUCCGUACUCCACUUGUGGUGAAUCUGAAUAAUUUUGACCUGAGCGCAAGGUCUCUGCACCGGCGCCGUAUCUUUCAAGUGUCUGCCUUAUCAGCUCUCGACUGUAGGUUAUGUGCCUACAAUGGCUAUAACGGGUAACGGGGAAUCAGGGUUCGAUUCCGGAGAGGGAGCCUGAGAAACGGCUACCACAUCUAAGGAAGGCAGCAGGCACGCAAAUUACCCACUCCCGGCACGGGGAGGUAGUGACGAAAAAUAACGGUGCGAGACUCAUCCGAGGCCUCGCAAUCGGAAUGAGUACACUUUAAAUCCUAUAACGAGGAUCAAUUGGAGGGCAAGUCUGGUGCCAGCAGCCGCGGUAAUUCCAGCUCCAAUAGCGUAUAUUAAAGUUGUUGCGGUUAAAAAGCUCGUAGUUGACCUUCAGUUCCGGACUGACGGUGCACCGCCCGGUGUCUGUCCGUCAUGCUCCGAACAGCAGGGGAUCACCCUGCCCGGCCGGCUCGCACGGGGUGCUCUUCAUCGAGUGUCCCGCGUGGCCGGCGAGUUUACUUUGAAAAAAUUAGAGUGCUCAAAGCAGGCUACUCGAAUGGCCUGAAUGGUGAUGCAUGGAAUAAUGAAAUAGGACCUCGGUUCUAUUUUAUUGGUUUUCGGAACCCGAGGUAAUGACUAAUAGAAACAGGCGGGGGCAUUCGUACUGCGACGCUAGAGGUGAAAUUCUUGGACCGUCGCAAGACGAACUACUGCGAAAGCAUUUGCCAAGGAUGUUUUCAUUAAUCAAGAACGAAAGUUAGAGGUUCGAAGGCGAUCAGAUACCGCCCUAGUUCUAACCAUAAACGAUGCUGACUAGCGAUCCGCCGGCGUUAUUCCCAUGACCCGGCGGGCAGCUUCCGGGAAACCAAAGUCUUUGAGUUCCGGGGGAAGUAUGGUUGCAAAGCUGAAACUUAAAGGAAUUGACGGAAGGGCACCACCAGGAGUGGAGCCUGCGGCUUAAUUUGACUCAACACGGGGAACCUCACCAGGCCCGGACACCGGAAGGAUUGACAGAUUGAGAGCUCUUUCUCGAUUCGGUGGGUGGUGGUGCAUGGCCGUUCUUAGUUGGUGG
rnacentral:rRNA from 1 species